ACUUGAUAAACUUAACCUGCUGAGCCUGCUGGUUCAGCUCUGUUGUUUAUCUCAUUCGAUACCCAGAGUUUUUCUGUCCAUGCUAAUGGCAUGUUACAGUGCUGUGAUAGAGCUGAAACUGAAACUGAAGAGCUGCUUGUUCCAUGUGGAGAUGUUUCAUGUUUGGGAUUCCAGUUGUAUGCCCCAUAGCACCCAGACAAAGGUGAUCAACUAGCAUUUGGAUAUCACCAUCUUGGAUCUCUCACAGUUUUC
rnacentral:lncRNA from 1 species